rnacentral:lncRNA from 1 species
AACAUAGAUUAAUAUUAGGAAGAAAGAUAUCCAGCCAUUUGACAUUGUAGUAGUUUAUCCAGAAUUUAGCUGCAAAAUUCUAUGCAGCAUCACAGAGCAGAGUAUAGAAAGGUGAAGGUUGGAAGCUGAGAGAUUAAUAACUUAAAACUUGUCACAAUAGGGAUAAUAUGAUGUGUUUAGAAAUAAAGAAUAGAUAACUUAUGACAUGUAAUAUAUAAUAUACAUAAUGGCAGACACUCAGUGUGUGAAAAUCGUGCUACUGAUAAUAAUGAUGAUGAUGUUGGUGGUAAUAAACUGAACAUCCUGAUUCUUUGCCUGGAGAUUAUUAUAACCUUUAAAAAUAUUCAACCCUGACAUUAGAUGGUUCCCUCCUUCAGCACCAGCAUUAAUUUUCUUGAACUUUUUAUACGUUAUCUUGCUGUAAGUAACCAUCUGUGUUCUAACAUAUUUAAAUAAGAAAACUAGGGAGAAUUAAGAAUAUAUAAAACAUAUAAAUAAUAAAAUACUACCUAAUAAAGUCAGAGAGAGUUUGUGUCUUGCAGUUCUUUCGGCUGAAAUCCAUUUGUUAUUAUCCAUAAUAUAACUAGUCACAUUGUGUGGUGAUAAGUUGUAGUAUAGGAGCAUUCUAUAAUCUGCCAGUGAAGUCUAUUAAAUCUCAGUCUUAUAGUGGAUAUGUGUGCCAGGGCUGUGACAUUCACAAAUGUAUCUUUAUUCAUGUAGAUUUCUUCCCUCUGCCUGCUUCUUCUUCUGACUAAAGCAUUCUCAAUCUAUAUCCUUGCAGUCCCACACUUGUUGAUCAUUGCCAACCCCACCAGAUGAGACAGAAAAUUUGAAGGUGACUGGAACGGAGAAGAAUGUCCUUCCUCAGUUAUGAGCUCAUAGACCGAGGACUGCCUUGUCUCAGAUGGGACUUUGGACCUGGACUUUUGGGUUAAUGCUGCAAUGAGGUAAGACUUUGGGGGACUCUUGGAAGGCAUGAUUGGCUUUGAAAUGUGAGGGCAUGAGAUUUGGGAGGGGCCAGAGGUAGAGUGAAAUGGUUUGGCUCUGUGUCCCCACCGAAAUUUCACCUUGAAUUGUAAUAAUCCCCACGUGUUGUGGGAGGGACUCAGUGGGAUGUAAUUGAAUCAUGGGGGUGGGUUUCUUUGUGCUGUUCUCAUGAUAGUGAAUAAGUCUAAAAAGGAGAGUUCCCCUGCAUAUGCUUUCUUGCCUGCUGUCAUGUAAGUCAUCACUUUGGUCUUCCUUGAUCUUCAGCCAUGAUUGUGAGGCCUCCCCAGUCGUGUAGAACUGUGAGUCCAUUAAACCUGUUUCCUUUAUAAAUUACCAGUCUCACAUAUGUCUUUAUUAGCAGUAUGAGAAAGGACUGAUACACUAACAAAUUGUUUGUUAAAGUUAUAAAAAUGACACUUUCACCAAUGAAUAUGAAACUUCCAUUUGUUACAAAUCAAUUCCACAAUUUGUUUUUAUAUCUGUGUGUGCGUGUGUGUGUGUGCACGUGUCCACAGUGUGUUUUUAAUGCCACACAUUAGGUUCCCUGGAAAAUGGACUCUAGGAUGUAGAUUUGUAGUCAGGCACUCAUAAAAUCUUACCUCCUUUAUCUCUAAAGUAGGUUAGAUAGGAGAGGUUUGGGAAUAAAGGGAAGUUGAACAGAUUUUCAAGUACCAUAAAGGCCUCAGCCAAUAUUACAAGGUUACUCUGCAGCUGGGAAGGCACUUCAUAAUACUAUCUGUCUGGGAUGAGGGUGCUGGACCUUUGUAACCUGGAGACUUUGGACAAACUGUAUCUCUUCAGCAAAAAGGAAGCCCCAGAUAUGGAUUCAUCUAUGAGAUCUUCAUCAAGCACAGUGUAGGAGAAGCAUCACGAUGGCACAUCAUAACAAUCAUAUUCCACAUCUUUAUUCCUAAAAUUGUUUCUCAAUUCAAGUGAUUUCAUAGAAAAAGUUCUAGGAUUAUCCUCCAAGAUUCUAUUUGCCACUUUUCUUAGAAAAACCUUGCAAAAGAAAUGUAAAAUGAACUAAAGUUUAUGCCAUUCCAACUGCGUUCAAGGCUAUAAAUGAUACUCCUAGUCUACCUCCUCUCUCACUCAUUCUAGAUUACAUUGACUUCUGGUGGCAGUCCCGAGUAUCUAUGUUGUUAUCUGUAGGUUGAUGAAGAUUCUCAUUUCUUAGGUAUCUAAUCCCAAAUCAUCAUGCUUUUCUUGGAUCAUAGCUACUGCACUUUUUCAUUUACCUUGACAAUUUGUCAAAGGUUUAUUGAAAGAUUUCUAAGUUAUUAUCUUGGUACCAUACUCUACCCCUUCCCAUUGAGUAACAUCAGCCUGACUUCACUCUAAUGACUGGAGUCAAUUUUCCAAGCUAGGAUUGAGACUCUACUCUUUCCCUGUCCUGGUCCCUUGGCAUCUAGUUGCUGAUUUGACUGGGUGGCAUUAUAACUUGAAAUUUAAACAGAACUUUGUUAUGCAUUAUAAUUGAAACAUUAUCCCUCUAAGAGUCUAGACUUCCAAACUCCAGAGUCUAAAGUUGUAGAUCCAGUAUUCAGUCUCAUGAAUAUGGCCAUAGCUCCUACAUAUAUUUCUAAGGUAGGUCCUGUAGAAGUAUUAUCUUCUUUUUCACAUUUACUAUAA